UGAAGAGGCAGCAGGCAGAGCUGAAUGGAAAUGUUGCUUGCGGCGUGGCUACAUUGUUUGCAACUACAACACUGCUGGAUAAUCCGGGCCUGGUCCGGCUCUAAGUCAACAACAGCCUGUAGUGGUCAUGGAAAGAAAGAGUGAGAGA